UACGUAGGGGGCAAGCGUUGUCCGGAAUCAUUGGGCGUAAAGAGCGUGUAGGCGGCCCGGUCAGUCCGCCGUGAAAGUCCAGGGCUCAACCCUGGAAUGCCGGUGGAUACUGCCGGGCUGGAGUCCGGAAGAGGCGAGUGGAAUUCCUGGUGUAGCGGUGAAAUGCGCAGAUAUCAGGAAGAACACCCGUGGCGAAGGCGGCUCUCUGGGACGGUACUGACGCUGAGACGCGAAAGCGUGGGGAGCGAACAGG
rnacentral:rRNA from 1 species